UUGUUAAAGAAUUCGGCAGCAUAUAUACUAAAAUUGGAAUAUACAGAGAUGAUUAGCAUGGCCUCUGUGCAAGGAUGCCACACAAAUUCACGAAGUGUUCCAUAUUUUU